GGGGGUAUAGCUCAGUGGUAGAGCAUUUGACUGCAGAUCAGAGGUCCCCGGUUCAAUCCGGUGCCCCCU
rnacentral:tRNA from 1 species